rnacentral:rRNA from 1 species
GAGUUUGAUCGUGGCUCAGAUUGAACGCUGGCGGCAUGCCUUACACAUGCAAGUCGAACGGUCAGCACGGGAGCUUGCUCCUGGUGGGCGAGUGGCGAACGGGUGAGUAAUGCAUCGGAACGUAUCCUGGAGUGGGGGAUAACGUAGCGAAAGUUACGCUAAUACCGCAUAUUCUGUGAGCAGGAAAGCGGGGGACCUUCGGGCCUCGCGCUCUUGGAGCGGCCGAUGUCGGAUUAGCUAGUUGGUGAGGUAAAGGCUCACCAAGGCGACGAUCCGUAGCAGGUCUGAGAGGAUGAUCUGCCACACUGGAACUGAGACACGGUCCAGACUCCUACGGGAGGCAGCAGUGGGGAAGUUUUGGACAAUGGGGGCAACCCUGAUCCAGCCAUGCCGCGUGAGUGAAGAAGGCCU